rnacentral:lncRNA from 1 species
GCAAUUCAGAAAACUAGUGACAAGCAUGCUUUCAGAAGCCAUACUGAUGUUGUGUGACCUCGGGCAAGUCACUUACCCUUUCUAAGCUUCAGUGUUAACAGAACAAUAAGAAAAGAAAAAUAGGAAUUCAGGGAGAUCAUACACAGAGUGCCAGGUAUAUAACAAGUUCUCAGAGAAGCUGUUACUAUGGUUACAGUUGUCAUCAUCAGUGUCACCACUGACAUCAUCAUCAUCAUCCAUGAUCCAGAAGGACCCAGCAAAAGGAAGUAACACAACGGGAUUUCCACCUAAGUUUCUUAACUAUAUGAGAAAGCUCUUUCAGGACAACCCCAUUGCUAUGCGACCUUCUAAAUAUCAGAAUAUGGAUCUAGCUUUUGGCUUCCC